UUCGGAGGAUGCAAGCGUUAUCCGGAAUGAUUGGGCGUAAAGCGUCCGCAGGUGGCUGUGUAAGUCUGCUGUUAAAGAGUCUAGCUCAACUAGAUACAAGCAGUGGAAACUACACGGCUAGAGUGCGUUCGGGGCAGAGGGAAUUCCUGGUGUAGCGGUGAAAUGCGUAGAGAUCAGGAAGAACACCGGUGGCGAAGGCGCUCUGCUAGGCCGCAACUGACACUGAGGGACGAAAGCUAGGGGAGCGAAUGGG
rnacentral:rRNA from 1 species